rnacentral:tmRNA from 1 species
GGGGCUGAUUCUGGAUUCGACGGAAUUUGCGAAACCCAAGGUGCAUGCCGAGGGGCGGUUGGCCUCGUAAAAAGCCGCAAAAAAUAGUCGCAAACGACGAAAACUACGCUUUAGCAGCUUAAUAACCUGCUUAGAGCCCUCUCUCCCUAGCCUCCGCUCUUAGGACGGGGAUCAAGAGAGGUCAAACCCAAAAGAGAUCGCGUGGAAGCCCUGCCUGGGGUUGAAGCGUUAAAACUUAAUCAGGCUAGUUUGUUAGUGGCGUGUCCGUCCGCAGCUGGCAAGCGAAUGUAAAGACUGACUAAGCAUGUAGUACCGAGGAUGUAGGAAUUUCGGACGCGGGUUCAACUCCCGCCAGCUCCACCA